GAUCACAAAUCAAACAAUUUAUAGAUUACAGUUUAUUCGUCGAUCAUAGACUUUCAAAUUAAUUGAUCACAAGUUAUUUUUAAUAGCAUACUAUCAAAUUUUUAGAUUACAAUUGAAUACUUGAUCACAAAUUAGCCAAUUUAUUGGUCAUAAAUUUUCAAAUUACAUAGUUACGGAUUAUUUUUUACUCACAUAUUAUCAAAUUUUCGGGUCACAUUUGAAUAUGUGGUUACAAAUUAUACAAUUUAUUGGUCCCAAGUAAUUGGUCACAAACGCCACCAUUCCAUCCUUACCCACGGCCAUCGCCACUAUUCGCACCAACAAAACAACAUGCCAACUUUCCAUCAUUGUAGCACCAUUGUCACCAAAACUUGCGCCACCAAAGGUUCAGCCAUGCCUCUGACACCACCAGCUUUCCAUCUCAACCACACCAAAACAACAAUUCCACCCAAAAAAUCCCCAAAGCCAGGGUGCCGACCACCAAAAACACGACCACCGUUGCAACACCGACGCUCACGCCGCCCAAAAUUGGCACCACAAUCACCACCGCAACCUCACCGCCAAAGCCAGUAACCACUACCACCAGCAAAACACACAACCAAAACUACACUACAAACACCACAAAAUAAAUUUCACAGCUGAAGACCAUCCCAAAGACAUGGUUGAGCAUCGAUAUACGCGGGGCUCAAAUCGUUGCGGCAACGAACGGAAGCGCACAACUCACAGCGUCACUACUUGAUGGCCGGUGGUGACAUUGCUGUGCCACAGAUCCUUUUCCAGAGGAGAUGUUGUUGAGAGAGAAGAGAGAUCAGGGAGAAAAGAGUGACUCGUGUGUUUAGAGAGAGAGAGAGAGAGAGAUGAAGGAGACGAUAUGGGGGAAGGGUUAGGUUUUAUGUGUUGGACCGGGUGGGUAAAUAAUAGAUGGGAUAGUUUUUAUAUUGGCUGAAUUAUUGAGCUUAUUUUCAACAAUAGCCUUUUCUAUAAAAAGUACUAUUUUACCAUUACUAAAGUUAUUUGCAAGAUGUAUCUUAUAUCUUUAAGAAUUUAUCAAUCAG
rnacentral:lncRNA from 1 species